CCAUCUAUUUCAAAGAUCGCAUAACGCUCUAGAUCUCAGAAGAUGGAUUUCUAGCCCCCUCUAUUAUAAAACGGGGUGCCACCGGAGCAACAUAAUGUGUGUUACAAAGCGUUUGCACAUGCUUUUCUUCGUCUAAAGUCUUUCUUUUCUGAUGUCUCCUAUUCUCAAGCCGGCUUUUCUCUUUUUUCUUGUAUUCUACUAGCUCCACCCUAAUUACAAGAUGUUUUGAACAUUUCAAUAUGGAUUAUAUAAGGACAGAAAUGAGUAAACAAACACACCUAGACACAUAUAUAUACGGCUGAUUCAAAUAAAAGUUAGAACAUCUUAUAGUUCAGAAUGGAGAGAUAGUUGUUAAGAGUUGAUGAAGGACAAAAGAUAGGUGUUGAUCCAAAUGAUUUACCGUGGAGAGAACACACUUGAUGUAUGGUCGGUGAUGUAUAAAUUGUGAGCCAAGCGUGUGGCUGCUAGAACAUUUAUGCCACAUCAAUUAUGUGUGCUUUUUUAUGGAAUAUCCUUUAUAUAUAAUGAAGUGUUAUCUAGCAAUAGAAUGGUAAAAUGCGUGGAGCAUGAACCGUCAUCAAACCAUGGAUAUGGUAAGGAUUUCUCCAAUUAUUUUCUCCAAAAAAUUUUAUCCUAUAUUUGUAAGAAGAUAUCAAGUCACUAGCCAGUUUGUCCAACCAGUCGUUGCAACUAAUGAAUUGUCCUUCAAAAAUGAAACAAUAAUGAGUACUAGGGGGCAAGAUAUGGGUGAUCCUCACUUGUAACCAAAUCAAUACCAAUUGUGUGAUUGUAUACAUAUUGACAAAUAAUAUGAUGAUUAAUAUUUGUGAGCUGCAUGACUUGCUUUAUUUAUCAAACAUAUACAACUCUACUAGAUCAUGAAAGCGCAAGGCAGACUACUAGAAAAAAGUCCUUGCUUUGAUCAUCAUAGAUGGAAGAGGAAAACUAGCACUAUUUAGCACCAACAAUCACCUCGGUCCCCAUCAAUGGUGUCAUGAUCAAAUAGAACAUUGUCAGCGAAAAAGACACCACUAUGAGCUGAAAUUGCGUACAUUAUUACCAGUGACAACCCAUCUCUUCUAAUGUGCUCUAUACUAGGCCUUCAC
rnacentral:lncRNA from 1 species